GCCCUUAGAGUUUGAUCCUGGCUCAGGACGAACGCUGGCGGCGCGCCUAACACAUGCAAGUCGAACGAGAGAGAGGGAGCUUGCUUCCUCAAUCGAGUGGCGAACGGGUGAGUAACGCGUGAGGAACCUGCCUCAAAGAGGGGGACAACAGUUGGAAACGACUGCUAAUACCGCAUAAGCCCACGACCCGGCAUCGGGAAGAGGGAAAAGGAGCAAUCCGCUUUGAGAUGGCCUCGCGUCCGAUUAGCUAGUUGGUGAGGUAACGGCCCACCAAGGCGACGAUCGGUAGCCGGACUGAGAGGUUGAACGGCCACAUUGGGACUGAGACACGGCCCAGACUCCUACGGGAGGCAGCAGUGGGGAAUAUUGCACAAUGGGGGAAACCCUGAUGCAGCGACGCCGCGUGGAGGAAGAAGGUCUUCGGAUUGUAAACUCCUGUUGUGAGGAAGAUAAAGACGGUACUCAACAAGGAAGGACGGCUACUCUG
rnacentral:rRNA from 1 species